AAGGUAGCUUGCUACUGGACCUAGCGGCGGACGGGUGAGUAAUGCUUAGGAAUCUGCCUAUUAGUGGGGGACAACAUUCCGAAAGGAAUGCUAAUACCGCAUACGCCCUACGGGGGAAAGCAGGGGACCUUCGGACCUUGCGCUAAUAGAUGAGCCUAAGUCGGAUUAGCUAGUUGGUGGGGUAAAGGCCUACCAAGGCGACGAUCUGUAGCGGGUCUGAGAGGAUGAUCCGCCACACUGGGACUGAGACACGGCCCAGACUCCUACGGGAGGCAGCAGUGGGGAAUAUUGGACAAUGGGCGGAAGCCUGAUCCAGCCAUGCCGCGUGUGUGAAGAAGGCCUUUUGGUUGUAAAGCACUUUAAGCGAGGAGGAGGCUCCUUUAGUUAAUACCUAAAGUGAGUGGACGUUACUCGCAGAAUAAGCACCGGCUAACUCUGUGCCAGCAGCCGCGGUAAUACAGAGGGUGCGAGCGUUAAUCGGAUUUACUGGGCGUAAAGCGUGCGUAGGCGGCUUUUUAAGUCGGAUGUGAAAUCCCUGAGCUUAACUUAGGAAUUGCAUUCGAUACUGGAAAGCUAGAGUAUGGGAGAGGAUGGUAGAAUUCCAGGUGUAGCGGUGAAAUGCGUAGAGAUCUGGAGGAAUACCGAUGGCGAAGGCAGCCAUCUGGCCUAAUACUGACGCUGAGGUACGAAAGCAUGGGGAGCAAACAGGAUUAGAUACCCUGGUAGUCCAUGCCGUAAACGAUGUCUACUAGCCGUUGGGGCCUUUGAGGCUUUAGUGGCGCAGCU
rnacentral:rRNA from 1 species